UACGGCCAUAUCAUGUUGAAACAUCGGCUCACGUACGAUCACUGAAGUUAAGCAACAUCGAGCUUGGUCAGUUUCUAGAUCGGUAACCAUUUGGGAAUACCAAG